UACGUAGGGUGCAAGCGUUAUCCGGAAUUAUUGGGCGUAAAGAGCUCGUAGGCGGUUUGUCGCGUCUGCUGUGAAAACCGGAGGCUCAACCUCCGGCCUGCAGUGGGUACGGGCAAACUAGAGUGCGGUAGGGGAGAUUGGAAUUCCUGGUGUAGCGGUGGAAUGCGCAGAUAUCAGGAGGAACACCGAUGGCGAAGGCAGAUCUCUGGGCCGAUACUGACGCUGAGGAGCGAAAGCGUGGGGAGCGAACAGG
rnacentral:rRNA from 1 species